rnacentral:rRNA from 1 species
AUUGAACGCUGGCGGCAGGCCUAACACAUGCAAGUCGAGCGGAUGAAGGGAGCUUGCUCCUGGAUUCAGCGGCGGACGGGUGAGUAAUGCCUAGGAAUCUGCCUGGUAGUGGGGGAUAACGUCCGGAAACGGGCGCUAAUACCGCAUACGUCCUGAGGGAGAAAGUGGGGGAUCUUCGGACCUCACGCUAUCAGAUGAGCCUAGGUCGGGUUAGCUAGUUGGUGGGGUAAAGGCCUACCAAGGCGACGAUCCGUAACUGGUCUGAGAGGAUGAUCAGUCACACUGGAACUGAGACACGGUCCAGACUCCUACGGGAGGCAGCAGUGGGGAAUAUUGGACAAUGGGCGAAAGCCUGAUCCAGCCAUGCCGCGUGUGUGAAGAAGGUCUUCGGAUUGUAAAGCACUUAAGUUGGGAGGAAGGGCAGUAAGUUAAUACCUUGCUGUUUUGACGUUACCAACAGAAUAAGCACCGGCUAACUUCGUG